rnacentral:rRNA from 1 species
GUGGUAUGGUCGUAACCU